UAAUUCAGAGGAAAAAAAAUGAAUCAACUAAGGUUUUGUUUGAUGUAGUCAGCACAUCAAUCCAUAUGUGUUGAGGUAGAUUAGAGUGAAACUUGAACUAAAUUCUACCACAACCUACACCAACACAUAAAUUAAAGUAAAUCUAACUACAUCCAAAGAUGCCAUUACCCAUAUGCCAUAGCGUUGCUCGAUCGUAUCGAUCGGCCGUUGCAUGCAAGUGGAUGAAAUGCAACGGCAACUCGGCAAGCAUGGAACCAGGUCAACAAAGCGCAUCAGCGAUCGAUCAGCCAACAGCCAUAUGCAUGCCCGUGUUCGUUUUGCCCGGGUCAGCAACCGCCCGGCGGCCGCGCGCACCGAGCCGGCCGGCGAGGAUGAAAACGCCACCGCAUCGAAAGCCUGACCGAUCACCGCAUCAUCCAUGCGCGCCCGUUGCGAUCCUCUUCAGGCUAUAAAUACGACGGCAGGGGCACGAUCGACGCAAAGGCAGCCCAUGCCGCCGCCGGCAAGGCGAGCGAAUAGCUCCAUCGAGGAGCAGUCGAUCUGCUCCUCUACUCAGCAACGAGCCGGCGGGGGCCCGACGAACGGCCGGCCGCCAAUGCUUAUUCGGAUUGGCCGAGAGCACCCGGUCGGAUUGGCCGAGAGCACCCGGCCCACCUCCUUCUUUGUUUCUCCGAUCCAGAAAAGAUUGAGAACCACAGAGAAGAAGAUGGCUAGAGAAGACAACAAGAAAACUCUGAGAGGAAGCCAAGUGAUUUAUAAAGAAAGGAAGAGAACUUGAAAAGGCAGAUAGAAAUGGUCGUCCAUAUAAGGCCAGUCUCAAUGGUGAGCACCUCUCAAUUUCCAACACAUGAAACAUUGACAUGAAAUGAGGUUCUCUCACGGUGCAAAGUUUCAUUGCACGAUUUCAUAGCUUAUUUUACUAUUUUUUCUCUCAUCCCUAUCUUUUCCUCUCCCUAUCUUUUCUCUCAUCCAUCUCUUCUGAUGAAAUGUCAGAGCUCCUCAAUGCGGGUUUGAUUCUCGUUUCGUGGUGUUGGAAACACCGCCCCACUCGUUUCGUGACAAUGAAACAAAUUCCUUCUCUCUC